rnacentral:misc_RNA from 1 species
GGGGGCUUGAAGAAGAGCCUGAGGGAGGGAAACAGAACAUGCUGAAUUGACCAUUCACGUUGAGCCCAGGCAUUUUCAGCCUCCAAACGUAGUUCUUCGUCAAAUUCAGCCUCCGUGGUAUCAUUCUCUAUGUUAUCUAUUGAAGUUACUUCUGAACCACUUGAAAGUACUCUCUUUCUGUAGAAUUUCAAGCCAUCACCUGAGGGAUUAGGCAAUAAUGGCGGAUGCAUGGCAUAAAAAUUUCCUAGGACAGCAGCAAUUGUCUGAAAACAAAUUUUCUCGUCCUCCCAGUCAACAUCAUUUCCUAAACAAAGUAUAAAUUCUGGGAUGCGGUCCAUGUCAGGUGUGUACUGAUCCAGUAUAACAGGAAGACUAGACAUAUUUCCAUUUGAAUCGAUAUGAAUACUAAAAUACUCCUCUAGCAUUCCAGCCUUUUGCUUGAGCAGUUCUGUAUUCAUCUCGGCAAUCUUUCCUCUUAGCUCUUUGCUUUCAUUGCCUUCUGGAUCUGUACCCUCUUCUUUCAGAGCAAGCAUUACUAACUCAGGUAAUGAUGCUGGUUCACUCAGUUGAAUUGCAUUGAAAUGGGCAAACCGACGUAAAACUUGCUGAUACAUAAGCUCUUUACUCAAGUUAAUCACAUUAACAAGAUAAAGGUGUGUAUUGUGUUGAAGCAAAGCAAAAAUCUCAUCCGCCAUCCCAGUAUAUGUGCAAUUCCUAACAAUAUCCAAUAGACCAGGGUGACAGUCAUUAUCAAUCUCAUUAACGAGCUCUUGGAUGCUAGUGAGGUCUGCGGUGUCACUAGGAUUCCUCCUUUGUCUGAUAGAAGACCUCACAGAGCUAAAGCAAGG